rnacentral:rRNA from 1 species
AACGCGAAGAACCUUACCGGGGCUUGACAUCGUACGAAAUCCUACGAAAGUAGGCUUUCUCGCAAGAGAACGUACAGACAGGUGCUGCAUGGCUGUCGUCAGCUCGUGCCGUGAGGUGUUGGGUUAAGUCCCGCAACGAGCGCAACCCUCGCCGUGUGUUGGUCCGCAAGGAUCUCUCACGCGGGACCGCCGAUGAGAAGUCGGAGGAAGGUGGGGAUGACGUCAAGUCAGCAUGGCCCUUACGUCCCGGGCUACACACGUGCUACAAUGGGUAGGACAACGGGCUGCGAGCUAGUGAUAGUAAGCUAAUCCCUUAAACCUACCCUCAGUUCGGAUUGAAGGCUGCAACUCGCCUUCAUGAAGUCGGAAUCGCUAGUAAACGCAGAUCAGCUACGCUGCGUUGAAUACGUUCCCGGGCCUUGUACACACCGCUAGUC